rnacentral:rRNA from 1 species
AGUGAACGCUGGCGGUAGGCCUAGCACAUGCAAGUCGAACGGCAGCACAGUAAGAGCUUGCCCUUACGGGUGGCGAGUGGCGGACGGGUGAGGAAUACAUCGGAAUCUACUUUUUCGUGGGGGAUAACGUAGGGAAACUUACGCUAAUACCGCAUACGACCUACGGGUGAAAGCAGGGGAUCUUCGGACCUUGCGCGAUUGAAUGAGCCGAUGUCGGAUUAGCUAGUUGGCGGGGUAAAGGCCCACCAAGGCGACGAUCCGUAGCUGGUCUGAGAGGAUGAUCAGCCACACUGGAACUGAGACACGGUCCAGACUCCUACGGGAGGCAGCAGUGGGGAAUAUUGGACAAUGGGCGCAAGCCUGAUCCAGCCAUACCGCGUGGGUGAAGAAGGCCUUCGGGUUGUAAAGCCCUUUUGUUGGGAAAGAAAAGCAGCAGGUUAAUACCCCGCUGUUCUGACGGUACCCAAAGAAUAAGCACCGGCUAACUUCGUG